UGGGCAACCUACCCUUGACUCUGGGAUAACUCCGGGAAACCGGAGCUAAUACCGGAUAUGAACACGAAGGACAUCCUUUGUGUUGGAAAGUUUUUCGGUCAGGGAUGGGCCCGCGGCCUAUCAGCUUGUUGGUGGGGUAAUGGCCCACCAAGGCGACGACGGGUAGCCGGCCUGAGAGGGCGACCGGCCACACUGGGACUGAGACACGGCCCAGACUCCUACGGGAGGCA
rnacentral:rRNA from 1 species